GUGGGGAAUCUUGCGCAAUGGGCGAAAGCCUGACGCAGCCAUGCCGCGUGGAUGAUGAAGGUCUUAGGAUUGUAAAAUCCUUUCACCGGUGAAGAUAAUGACUGUAGCCGGAGAAGAAGCCCCGGCUAACUUCGUGCCAGCAGCCGCGGUAAUACGAAGGGGGCUAGCGUUGCUCGGAUUUACUGGGCGUAAAGGGCGCGUAGGCGGACAUUUAAGUCAGGGGUGAAAUCCCGGGGCUCAACCUCGGAGCUGCCUUUGAUACUGGAUGUCUUGAGUGUGAGAGAGGUGUGUGGAACUCCGAGUGUAGAGGUGAAAUUCGUAGAUAUUCGGAAGAACACCAGUGGCGAAGGCGACACACUGGCUCAUUACUGACGCUGAGGCGCGAAAGCGUGGGGAGCAAACAGGAUUAGAUACCCUAGUAGUCC
rnacentral:rRNA from 1 species